rnacentral:rRNA from 1 species
AGCGAACGCUGGCGGCAGGCUUAACACAUGCAAGUCGAACGGUCCUUCGGGAUAGUGGCGGACGGGUGAGUAACACGUGGGAACGUACCCUUAGGUUCGGAACAACACAGGGAAACUUGUGCUAAUACCGGAUAAGCCCUUCGGGGGAAAGAUUUAUCGCCUUUGGAGCGGCCCGCGUCUGAUUAGCUUGUUGGUGAGGUAAUGGCUCACCAAGGCUACGAUCAGUAGCUGGUCUGAGAGGAUGGCCAGCCACACUGGGACUGAGACACGGCCCAGACUCCUACGGGAGGCAGCAGUGGGGAAUCUUGCGCAAUGGGCGAAAGCCUGACGCAGCCAUGCCGCGUGGAUGGUGGAGAUCUUAGGAUUGUAAAAUCCUUUCACCGGGGACGAUAAUGACGGUACCCGGAGAAGAAGCCCCGGCUAACUUCGUGCCAGCCGCCGCAGUAA